UGAGGAAUAUUGCGCAACGGACGCAAGUCUGGCGCAGCAACGCCGCGUGGGCGAAGAAGGUCUUCGGAUCGUAAAGCCCUUUUCUAGAGGAAGAGGAAGGACGGUACUCUAGGAAUAAGUCUCGGCUAACUACGUGCCAGCAGCCGCGGUAAAACGUAGGAGACAAGCGUUAUCCGGAUUCAUUGGGCGUAAAGGGCAUGUAGGUGGAGCCUUAAGUUGGAUGUAAAAUCUCCUGGCUUAACUAGGAGGGGUCAUCCAAAACUGGGGCACUUGAGGGCAGGAGAGGGAAAUGGAAUUCCCGGUGUAGCGGUGGAAUGCGUAGAUAUCGGGAGGAACACCAGUGGCGAAAGCGGUUUCCUGGCCUGCAUCUGACACUAAUAUGCGAAAGCUAGGGGAGCAAACGGG
rnacentral:rRNA from 1 species